GUGUAUGGCCAUACCACCCUGAACGUGCCCCAUCUCAUCUGAUCUUGGAAGCUAAGCAGGGUUGGCCCUGGUUAGUACUUGGACAGGAGGGAAUCUGAGAUUGUUUUCCUCU
ensembl:rRNA 5S_rRNA 5S ribosomal RNA